CAGCAGCCACGGGAAUACGUAGGGUGCGAGCGUUAAUCGGAAUUACUGGGCGUAAAGUGUGCGCAGGCGGUUAUGUAAGACAGUUGUGAAAUCCCCGGGCUCAACCUGGGAACUGCAUCUGUGACUGCAUAGCUAGAGUACGGUAGAGGGGGAUGGAAUUCCGCGUGUAGCAGUGAAAUGCGUAGAUAUGCGGAGGAACACCGAUGGCGAAGGCAAUCCCCUGGACCUGUACUGACGCUCAUGCACGAAAGCGUGGGGAGCAAACAGGAUUAGAUACCCCUGUAGUCCCUGUCUCUUAUAC
rnacentral:rRNA from 1 species